rnacentral:rRNA from 1 species
CAAUAGCGUAUAUUAAAGUUGUUGCAGUUAAAAAGCUCGUAGUUUAAAUGGUGAUCAUUGUUCUCCGCCAAAGAGAUUUGUGUGGGUUCAAAAGAUCAUUUUCUAAUGUUUACUUUUUAAUUAGACAUUAGACGGUUACCGUGAGGAAAUUAGAGUGCUCCAAGCAGGCAAUACGCUUUGAAUAUUGCAGCAUGGUAUAACACAAAUAUGGUCUUUAUAGCAAUGAUGGUUUGUUAUAUCGACAAUGGUAAAUAGGAGCGGUCGAAGGUAUCUGUAUUUAGCGGUCAGAGGUGAAAUUCAGUGAUUCGUUAAAGACAAACAAGUGCGAAGGCAUUUACCAAGGACGUGUCCAUUGA